UAUAUAUAUAUAUAUAUAAACUAAUGACGGAUGGAUGGAUGUAGCUGUAUGUAUUUAUUAUUAUGCCAGAGGUAUUAUUCUGUCUGGUUUGACAGUAUUAUCAACUGGCAUUGUUACUCCGAGGACAACAGAUGAAGCUAAAGCUAAAGGGCUGAUAUGUUCGCACUACAUACCAAGAGGGUGUGGCAGUGGUAUUCGAAUUUCGCCAAAACCGGCGUCUCGCGUUGAUCGAUCUUACAACUUAAAAUGCUUUUUCCUUUUUUAUUUUCUAACUCAACAUGGCAGUAGUGUUUUUUGAUAACUCCGUUAUCUCAUUUCCUAUUUUUUUAUCGUUAUUUAUACUAAAAAUAAUAAAAUCUGUAUAAAAAUUAUACGACGAUAGUAGAAAAAAAAAUUCGUAGGAAAAAAUACGAUAAACGUCAAAUCUGACGUUAAUUAACCUGAUAGAAGAAAGAUUUUUAAUUGCUGUUAAAAGUAAAUAGAGUAGAUUAAUUAUAAUUGUAUAAACAGCCAUUGGGCAUAUACAAUUUAUUUUUAAUUUAAAAAGUUUACCAGAGAGCUCUGAUCUGUCUAAAAGAGUGAAAACGCCUUGGAUUUUAAUUGUUUCUUUCUCUGGAGAUGGAAUUUUUUUAUCUGUAUCUCAUUUAAUAUUUUUCAUAGAUCUGUUGUCUAUAUAUGUAUUUUCUUUCUUUCUCCCUGUGCAUUUGUGCGAGAAGAUAAAAGUCGGCAGCUGCCACGCGCGUUGGAGAGUUUGCGUGCACACUUUCCGGUUACGGACGCCAAAAUGGCGACAGCCGGCUGAAACGGACGGCAUCCUUGCUUCAGGAGCGUAUCAAAGAUCCUAAAAAAAAUAAAAUGGAAAACAAUUUACUUAUUUAACUUUGUUACAGUUUGCUGGCUCAAUAUCUACUAUUUAUUUUCAAUUACUGUAAUUAAAAUUGUAAAUUAACAUUCAGAGUAAAAAUUACUGGCGCCGUAACAUUAACCACGAUAAAUAAUUAAAAGCAAUCAAGAUGAUGAUGAUAAUUAUAUACAUUAAUGAAGAAUAUUUUCUCCGAAUCUAAGAAGAGCCUAGCUGUGAGAAUAUUUGAAUAAAAAAUAAAAUAUUUGCGUGGUUUGUUGAAACAACUGUCUCUAAAUGAUUCAUCAUGAAGCCCAGUGACGGGCCAAUCGCUGAGAGUUCCUUGUGACUCACGACAGCUUAUUCAUACGUCCAUAUAUAUAUAAACCGAUAUUUCUCACUCGUCCUCGUCCCCCGUGAGCUUUCUCGAACAUUCGUUUAUUCUGAAACCUGCUCGUCUAUGUCAUGCCGAGUAUACUGGAGUACUAUAGAAGAGUAUGCUAUGGAGAAUAGUAUAUGGUAGAUAUAAAUAUAAUACCAGUCUGGAAGACGAUUCACCAUGUAUUACAUUAUCCAUUUAUAUUAGUGGAGAAUGGAUGUAUAGAACGAAUCAAAGAAAUAAAAUGAAAAUGAACACAUUUACACAGAUGCUGGUAUCAGGUCGUUGGACGAUCAGCGAAACAGAAAGGAUUUGGAAAACGAAAUGUCAAGUAGAGCGUGAUACUCUUAUCGAUCGUCUUUCACUUUCAUUCGUCAUUGACCAUGGAAAGGUUGUGGAGUAGCAAAGACCUCGUGAUUUUAAUACAUACUAAUACUUACUCUUUUGUAUGUUGUAUGUUGUAUGCUGAUGGUUGCUAUUUUACACGGAUAAUGGUGUAACAUGUAUUGAGUACUGUGGAUGUAUUGUCAGUCAUUAACUCAUAAAUAUAUUUAAAGUAAAAUAUAUUUAUUGUAUGCAAUGUAAAUUUAUGAUAAGUGUAUGACUGGUAGGAGGAUAAAGAAUAAUGGGGAAUGGAAGGCACUCGGCUCUCGGGUUUAUGUUAACAAACUGGACAAAAUAAUCGAUAGUCGGAAUGUCAUUUAGACAUCAGUUCGUCGGCCUUUACUACGGGGAGGGAGAAAAGGGGAACUACCCAGUACCGAUCGAUUACCAGUUGUACCAGCAUCUACUCUAUUUAUUUUAUUUUAUUUACUUAUUAAUUACUGGGUUUUAAUUAUGGUACUGAGAGUUCUGGGUAUUGAUACUGAAGGUUGCGAUAUUAAAUUAAAUUUUUUUUUACUCAAUAAGUUUAAAAAGAAAUUAAGUUAAAAGUUUUUUUUUUGUAAAUUUAUAUU